ensembl:lncRNA
CCACUUCUAAAUACUGAAUUGGCAGAACAAAAAAAAGUAUAUUCUAAAAUUGAUAAUCUGACACCUUUUUCCUUCUUGGUUUCAGAAGCUGGCGGUUGAGUUGCAGGCUGCAGGCCACAGUGGGGUUCUGGUUCCUUUCCAGUGUGACUUAAACAGCGAGGAGGAGAUUCUGUCCAUGUUUGCUGCCAUCAAGGAGCAGCACCGAGGGGUCGACGUGUGCAUCAACAACGCCGGCUUGGCUCAUCCAGAGUCUCUGUUAAAGCGGCUGGAAGAACAUGCUAGAUGUGAAUGUUCUUGCUUUGUGUAUUCGCACCCGUGAAGUGUAUCAAUCUAUGAAGGAAAGAAAUGUUGACGAUGGGCACAUCAUAAACAUAAACAGAGAUCUGCCAGGGAGGCUCCUGCUCAGCUUCCAGGCCGGAGGAAAGCGAGCUGGGGGACCGCCAAGCACAACCACCCGCCAUCUUUAUGAUGCUAAUGAACAGCCAUUAACACAGUGCACAACAGUUGUACACAACUCAAUAAAUCCUCUGUGUAAAUAUACACGGGUAUUAUGGGUUAUUGGAUUCUUCGCCUCAUGGGAUGCCACAGAAUGUGUUGUCUCCGGUCUGAAGGUGCCUCCUCCGAGCACAUCUCACUUCUUUCAAAGCUAUCCUUGCUGUAAUGGGAAUUUGACCAAUGUGAGGGAGGACACACCUCAAUGACACGGUUUGCUGUAGAGCUCAAAGAUUAAACCAUUGUUUCUUUCUUUUUUUUGCACAAAUGUCCAGUAAUGCUGGUUGCUGCACCAGUAUAAAACCCGUCCUGUAUAUUAAACAUCU